rnacentral:rRNA from 1 species
UACGGGGGGGCAAGCGUUGUUCGGAAUUACUGGGCGUAAAGGGCUCGUAGGCGGCCAACUAAGUCAGACGUGAAAUCCCUCAGCUUAACUGGGGAACUGCGUCUGAUACUGGAUGGCUUGGAUCCGGAAGAGGGAUGGCGGAAUUCCAGGUGUAGCGGUGAAAUGCGUAGAUAUCUGGAGGAACACCGGUGGCGAAGGCGGCAUCCUGGGCCGGUAUUGACGCUGAGGAGCGAAAGUGUGGGGAGCGAACAGG